rnacentral:misc_RNA from 1 species
AUUAGCCAACAACAACAAAAAAAAAAUCACCAAAGUGUGUAUGUACAGAAACCACUUUCGACUUUGUCGAUAUUCUCAAAGAAUGACUUGGAAACAAACCAAAACCAAAGAGGAAAACAAGAGAAAUAAACACACUAACAAUUCUUUUCUUUUCCUCUAGAUCUAUUUAAACUAUAUGUAAAAAGAGGGAGGCUGGGAAGGGGAGGGAGAUUAUUCAGCAAUGCGACGUGCAAAAACAACGAAAGAACAUCUCCGUCCUUUGUGCAGAGUAGACACAGCAAGAGAGACACUUAGAUUCUCAAGCUAAUAGAUGCUAAAUUACCCAGGAUAAGGCUAGUUGGAGAAAAUUUACACGUUGUCUUCAGUAAGCUGCACAUUAUAUCCAUGCUUUACCUCUUUGAGUGAAGCCUUUUUGUACUUAUCCUUCCUUUCAACCUCAUUUUCCCAUCCACAAAUAUCAUCGCCAAUUUCAUCUCUCUCCUCAUUUCCAAUUUCACUUUCACUUGCUGUCUCCCAUUCUGAAUCAUCAGUUUCCUGGCCACACAUGUCUCCAGCAUCACCCUCACAUUGAACUCCACCAUGUUUAAUAGCAGCCUCUCUAAAUAACCAAGCUGCACGCAUCUGCUUUUUU